UACAGAGGGUGCGAGCGUUAAUCGGAAUUACUGGGCGUAAAGCGUGCGCAGACGGUCAUGUAAGUCGGGUGUGAAAGCCCCGGGCUCAACCUGGGAAUUGCAUUCGAGACUGCAUGGCUAGGGUGCGGAAGAGGGAAGCGGAAUUUCCGGUGUAGCGGUGAAAUGCGUAGAUAUCGAAAGGAACACCAGUGGCGAAAGCGGCUUCCUGGUCCAGCACCGACGUUCAGGCACGAAAGCGUGGGGAGCAAACAGG
rnacentral:rRNA from 1 species